UACAGAGGGGGCAAGCGUUAUUCGGAAUUAUUGGGCGUAAAGGGCUCGUAGGCGGCCAACUAAGUCAGACGUGAAAUCCCUCGGCUUAACCGGGGAACUGCGUCUGAUACUGUCAGGCUAGAGGUAGGUAGGGGAGAUCGGAAUUCCUGGUGUAGCGGUGAAAUGCGCAGAUAUCAGGAGGAACACCGAUGGCGAAGGCAGCUCACUGGGACGGUACUGACGCUGAGACGCGAAAGCGUGGGGAGCAAACAGG
rnacentral:rRNA from 1 species